rnacentral:lncRNA from 1 species
UGGACAUCCUUCUUGUACUUUGGCGCUAGCUGGAUGACGGGACCUCAUCGUGAUCAGUGUAUUCCUUGCCUAUGUCUACAAGAACCGUCACGUGUGGCCUGUGACAGCAAGCUUUUGUGGGCAGCAAGUGCUCUCCUACAAAGGCUGGCCUGCUCCGGCAGCGGCGGCAAUCAUCUUCAAGAUUUAUCUAUGAUCACUUUUGCUGCUAUUUGUCACUCUUGUUAAUUACACUUUCUGCAUCUUUUCUCAUUUAUUAGGUAAUAAAGUAUGAGUAUGUGACGUGGUGUGAA